UAGGGAAUCUUCGGCAAUGGACGGAAGUCUGACCGAGCAACGCCGCGUGAGUGAAGAAGGUUUUCGGAUCGUAAAGCUCUGUUGUAAGAGAAGAACGAGUGUGAGAGUGGAAAGUUCACACUGUGACGGUAUCUUACCAGAAAGGGACGGCUAACUACGUGCCAGCAGCCGCGGUAAUACGUAGGUCCCGAGCGUUAUCCGGAUUUAUUGGGCGUAAAGCGAGCGCAGGCGGUUAGAUAAGUCUGAAGUUAAAGGCUGUGGCUUAACCAUAGUACGCUUUGGAAACUGUUUAACUUGAGUGCAAGAGGGGAGAGUGGAAUUCCAUGUGUAGCGGUGAAAUGCGUAGAUAUAUGGAGGAACACCGGUGGCGAAAGCGGCUCUCUGGCUUGUAACUGACGCUGAGGCUCGAAAGCGUGGGGAGCAAACAGGAUUAGAUACCCUGGUAGUCCACGCUGUAAACGAUGAGUGCUAGGUGUUAGACCCUUUCCGGGGUUUAGUGCCGUAGCUAACGCAUUAAGCACUCCGCCUGGGGAGUACGACCGCAAGGUUG
rnacentral:rRNA from 1 species